rnacentral:rRNA from 1 species
CACGCCGUAAACGUUGUAUACUAGGUGUAGGAGGUAUCGACCCCUUCUGUGCCGCAGCUAACGCACUAAGUAUACCGCCUGGGGAGUACGCGCGCAAGCGUGAAACUCAAAGGAAUUGAC